rnacentral:rRNA from 1 species
ACUAAAUAGAUACCCCGGUAGUCCACGCUGUAAACGGUGAGUGCUGGGUGUGGGAGGUGUAAUGCCUUCUGUGCCGAAAGCUAAACGCGUUAAGCACUCCGCCUGGGGAUACGGCCGCAAGGUUGAAACUCAAAGGAAUUGACGGGGGCCCGCACAAGCGGUGGAGCAUGUGGUUUAAAUUCGACGCAACGCGAAAAACCUUACCUGGGCUUGACAUGUGGAGAACCCGGUGGAAACACUGGGGUGCCCGUAAGGGGAGCUCCAACACAGGUGCUGCAUGGCUGUCGUCAGCUCGUGCCGUGAGGUGUUGGGUUAAGUCCCGCAACGAGCGCAACCCUCAUCUUAGUUGUCCAUCAUUAAGUUGGGCACUCUAGGGAAACUGCCGCA